GUCAACUACAAAGGCGAGAAGCCGAUGAGCUUCGCGCUCUUCGCCAUCGCUUAGCAGGCUAUUGCUGCCAAAGACGCUCUUCAGGUUCGUGCUUUCAUGGAUUGAUUGUUUGAGGUGUUGAUGAUGUAGAAGGUUUUGAGUUUUGAUUGGAUUUUUGGAUGGUGCAGAGUAUGGUUUUCGAUACGGAAUCGAAGGCAGUGUUGCAUAUGGAGAUGGCGAAGAAGAAUCUGUUUGUGAAAAGAGGUGAGAAUGCUACUGAGUUUUUGGUCUGGGUUCAAAAGCGUUAAGAAAAGGGGCGGUAAUGGGGAGAGAGAGAGAGUUCGAGCUCAUGAGGGUAAAAGGAUUAAGUUUUUGAUCUUUAGGUUUAUGCUUUGGGGAUGUAAUGGAGGCUGUAAUUGAGGGAAAACCGUAACAAGGCUAUUUUAGUCAUUUCGGCCACAAUUAGGGUUUUAGCUGAAAUGUGGGCCAACCUUAUCUGCUCCACAUCAGUGCAUGACGUCAUGUUUAAUGCGAGAUUCAAAUUUUGGUCGAGAUUGAUGUCAUUUUGAAAGUUUAGGGAUAAAACUGAUUAAAAAAAAAGAUGAGGUAUCAGACUGAUUUUAGACUUAAAAUUCAAGGGAGUAAACUGAAUUUUUUCCUUUUUUUAAUAUAUAUGUUGCUAAUCAAUUUUUUUUAAUAUAUACCUCUAUAUAUAUGGCUAAUCAAAGUAGGAGAGAAGUUUUCCCCAAUCCCAAUUUAGACAAAUUUACUGGUCACCCAUGUCUUCCUAAUCCUAAUUUAUUGAUUUGCAAUGUACUCUUCUAUCAUAUAUUUGUCAUUUAUCAUUUUCUCUAAAUCGUUUUUUGUUCUUCUCAAAAAAGAUUCGGGACUUCGAACACCAAAUUUGGAAUACCAUCAUAUAUAAUGUUUAAGAAUUAUUAUUGCUUUAACUAGGGAGACUUGUU
rnacentral:lncRNA from 1 species